rnacentral:rRNA from 1 species
GGAGUACGCCGGCACGUAACUCAAAGGAAUUGACGGGGCCCGCACAAGCGGAGGACAUGUGUUAUUCGAUGAUACGCGAGGAACCUUACCCGGGCUUGAAUUGCAUAUGCAUAGGCCGGAGACGUCUUUCCCUUCGGGGCUUAUGUGAAGUGCUGCAUGGUUGUCGUCAGCUCGUGCCGUGAGGUGUCGGCUUAAGUGCCAUAACGAGCGCAACCCCUCUCUUCAGUUGCCAUCGGGUAAUGCCGGGCACUCUGUAGACACUGCCACCGCAAGGUGUGAGGAAGGUGGGGAUGACGUCAAAUCAGCACGGCCCUUACGUCCGGGGCUACACACGUGUUACAAUGGGUGGUACAGAGAGUCGGGGGUACGCGAGUGCCCUCUAAUCAUCAAAUCCGCUCUCAGUUCGGAUUGGGGUCUGCAACCCGACCCCAUGAAGCUGGAUUCGCUAGUAAUCGCGCAUCAGCCAUGGCGCGGUGAAUACGUUCCCGGGCCUUGUACACACCGCCCGUCAAGCCAUGAAAGCCGGGGGCGCCUGAAGUCCGUGACCGCGAGGGUCGGCCUCGGGUGAAACCGGUGAUAGGGGCUAAGUCGGUAACACGCUAACCAGAUUGGAGAUCUG